rnacentral:rRNA from 1 species
AUUGAACGCUGGCGGCAGGCCUAACACAUGCAAGUCGAGCGGCAGCGGGAAAGUAGCUUGCUACUUUUGCCGGCGAGCGGCGGACGGGUGAGUAAUGCCUGGGAAAUUGCCCAGUCGAGGGGGAUAACAGUUGGAAACGACUGCUAAUACCGCAUACGCCCUACGGGGGAAAGCAGGGGACCUUCGGGCCUUGCGCGAUUGGAUAUGCCCAGGUGGGAUUAGCUAGUUGGUGAGGUAAUGGCUCACCAAGGCGACGAUCCCUAGCUGGUCUGAGAGGAUGAUCAGUCACACUGGAACUGAGACACGGUCCAGACUCCUACGGGAGGCAGCAGAGGGGAAUAUUGCACAAUGGGGGAAACCCUGAUGCAGCCAUGCCGCGUGUGUGAAGAAGGCCUUCGGGUUGUAAAGCACUUUCAGCGAGGAGGAAAGGUUGAUGCCUAAUACGUAUCAACUGUGACGUUACUCGCAGAAGAAGCACCGGCUAACUCCGUGCCAGCCGCCGCAGUAAAAC